ensembl:lncRNA
UAAAUAAAAAGACAAACUUCAGGAAGUACUUCUACUGCUAUUUUCUCUACAGGAAAAAGUUAAAUUUACCAAUACGUCGCUGAACACCUGCAGAUUUCUGUAAACCUAUUCCAGUUUUGCCCAAAUUUCAGAAAUAAACUUUUCCCUAAUUAUAUUUGACCUAGUCUGACUCAGUGAAAAAUACAUACUGUAGUGAACCAAAAAAAUUCUUUCUUAUCUCUGAUUUUCUGAAUACAUAUUCCAUCUGGAAGGAUCCUAUCCAAGCUACCUUGUAUGCUUCUGCACUGUUGUUGAGGUGAUCGCUUUUGGUCUAAAUAUUUGGGCUCUCUGUUCAGACCAAAGAAUAAGACCAACACAAUACACUCUUACCAGAUAAGCCAUUAGUUUGAUGGAUGAUUGUAAUUUUACAUUUAUGUCAGGAAGUGCAUUUCUAAAAUUCUGAUAUUUUCUUAAUCCUGGAGUUGUGUGUCUACCUGGAUGUCCUGUGUUCUUGCAGUCACAACACUGCAGCUAAGCACCAUGCUGUCAUUCCCAGCAAAAUCAUGAGUCUAUUAAAAGUCCUUACCUUCAUUCACGUCCUGGUCAAGUACACAAGAUGCUCUAUUACAACAGCUACAAAAUUCAGCUCAGGUUUACAGCAGUCUCUGAGGCCACAAAAUAUUAUUCCAUACAGAGCUGAGGAGAUAUGGAUCAUUGUUUCCAUUAUAGACUGUUCUGUGUGGAUACUGUCAAUCUGUUUCUAUAGAAAAUAAGAAAGAAGAAAAACAAGAUCCACAAACUUGAACCAGCCUCUUUCACAGCUCCUGGGCUAACCCAGCCUGGGUGAAACAAAGCACAAGUGUUCACAAUGAAGAGUGAUGUGUUGACUAUGUGGGUCCCAGUGCAUACACCUGAGUUGGGAUAAGAGAGUCACAGCACAGGCAGAAUGCACAUGGUCGGAACCAGAAGGGACACAGUAAGCUUGUCUGAUCCCAGUGAAGACAGUUCCCAGCUGCUGUCCAUCAGCUUCUGAAAUUUUUCAGUGAUAUUACGAUGGUUUGUACCAGGGCAGAGCCUCUUCAGAACUCAAAAGAAAUACAGCUGUGAAGAUUCUGUUUCCAUCUGACAUGCAACCCUCCCAGCUGAAAGAGUUUUACUUCCUUCACUGGAUAGCCAAAACAUCAGAUACGUGAGGAAAAGAGGAAACUGGUCUGGAUAUUAGUACAGAAAAGAUCACUCAGAAACUGAUAUCAUCCUGCUGUUCUGUAUGUAGGGGUUCCCUGCACUACAGAGUGAAUAAGAUGAAAAGAGGCCACUCUAGUUUUACAAUACAUACCAUUUUAUAUUUUAAUACACAGGAAAAAAAAUGUAUUAAACAAGCUUUCUGUUUCUCUGAAUAAAAUGUAAAAACUUCUUCUAUCUCCUUGUCUGUUUGUCAAAGGAAGAUGUCACAGAAGAAAUCAACAUAACUGUGGAUAAAUAGGAUUCAUCUCUGACCAUGUUGGUAAUGUCAUCCUUGGGUCUCUAGUAUAGCCCUUCUCUGCCAUACUACUGCCAGCAUACUCAGCCUAAAGUCCAUGCUAAAUUAGCACAGAUUAAACAUUACAGAUAUUUCAGGAAGUCGCAUUUAUGCACACUUUCAAAAGGCAAAAAUUAUGUGAUUUUUCACGCCCCUGGCAUUUGUAAGGCUCUUUGCUCUGAAUUGCAAAGCUUGCAAUUCAAAGUCUGAAUUGCUUCAUGAUGCAUACAACUCAUCCCACCUAAAAUGAUUUAAAUAAAACCCAUUUAAAAAAAAAAAAUGGGAUAAUUCAUAACACUUAGUUUAGGAACUCAUACAUUGCUUGGCUUGUAAUAAACUGUCAGGGCAUAUUAGUUUGAGAAAAAUCUCUGUGAAUCAAUUUAAAUUGUAAGCACUUAUGUGUUGUCUUUACAAGAGAGAAGCGAUAAUACUGCCUAACGAUGCUUGCACUGCUGUCACCACUGUUACAGCACUAAAGUAAAUUAGCUUACACAUUAGAUUAUGCAAUCAAAGGCAGCUCAUGUAACUAUUCAGUAAAACUGAGGAGAAAACAUCGACCCAUCAAAAACUUCUCAGAAUUAAAAAAGAAAUCUAAUUUUACAUGGCAAUCUGAGACCUUUGCUUUUUCCACAGAAAAUAUCAGAAUUUGAGAGUCAUUUAUAGGUAAAGGAUUCCUCUGGAGAGUAGGAAACCCUAGUUUAGAGCAUCUUCCUGCUUAAAUUAAAAGACUUGGCCUGAAAAGUAGAACCUGGGUUCCACUUUUAUCUACCCAUAUCUCAAAUAAAUACUGCAAACACCACACUGGUCUGGGACCAGCUGGCCUCCCUACCCCAGAAUAUGCAAAGUGGUGGGAACUGUGACAUUCCUGGUGAUUGCUCAUUUCACUGUGUUGUAAAGAAUCAGUUGCUAAGCCUGACUAAGUGAAUGUUAUGUCUGUGGAAACUUUAUUUCUCCUUCUAGAAAGCUUUUUACAGACAUCCCCCUCACUUCAUCGUUUUCAGUGAGCAAGGACUUGCAGUGGCACAGUGUAAAUGUUACAGUCUUAUCCUGCACCAUUUCCUCCCCAGGUGAUGGGGAGGAGCAUCUGGUACUGCCUUCCAGCUGUCCUCCACCUCAGCUCUUGAGGACUGUGUGCUCAACUUGGAGUUUUACUUGAAUGUACUUCAAAAUUGUUG